GUUGGGCCUGCUCGGUGAGAAGAAAAAUUUAACAGCUGCGGUAUUAUAACUGUACUAAGGUAGCAUAAUAAUUUGCCUUAUAAAUUAAGGCUAGAAUGAAUGGUUUGACGAAAAUUAGACUGUCUUUAUUUUAUUUGUUAGAAAUUAAUUUUUAUAGUGAAAAAGCUUGAAUAAUUUAAGGGGACGAGAAGACCCUAUUGAGCUUUAUUUAUUAAUAUUUAAAUAUAAAUAUAUAAUUUAUAUUAUGAAAAUUAUGUUGUAUAUAUAUAUAUAUUUAAUUGGAUUUAAUUUUGAUUGGGGUGAUCAAGGAAUAAAGAUAAAGUAACUUCCUUAAAAUUAAUGAUUGUUUUUAUAGAGUAAUAAACCAAGUUUUUUGCUUAUAAGAUAAGUUACCAUAGGGGUAACAGCGUAAUUUUUUUUGAGAGUUCAUAUUGAAAAAAGAGAUUGCGACCUCGAUGUUGGAUUAAAAAUUACCUUAAGG
rnacentral:rRNA from 1 species